rnacentral:rRNA from 1 species
AACGAACGCUGGCGGCAGGCUUAACACAUGCAAGUCGAGCGCGGUCUUUCGGGACUGAGCGGCGGACGGGUGAGUAACGCGUGGGAACGUGCCCUUCUCUCUGGAAUAGCCCUGGGAAACCGGGAGUAAUGCCGGAUACGCCGUCUCGUAGCGAUACGGGAUGGGAAAGAUUUAUCGGGGGAGGAUCGGCCCGCGUUGGAUUAGGUAGUUGGUGGGGUAAUGGCCUACCAAGCCGACGAUCCAUAGCUGGUUUGAGAGGAUGACCAGCCACACUGGGACUGAGACACGGCCCAGACUCCUACGGGUGGCAG